UACGUAGGCAGCGAGCGUUGUUCGGAGUUACUGGGCGUAAAGGGUGUGUAGGCGGUUGUUUAAGUUUGGUGUGAAAUCUCCCGGCUCAACUGGGAGGGUGCGCCGAAUACUGAAUGACUAGAGUGCGGGAGAGGAGAGUGGAAUUCCUGGUGUAGCAGUGAAAUGCGUAGAUAUCAGGAGGAACACCGGUGGUGUAGACGGCUCUCUGGACCGUAACUGACGCUGAGACACGAAAGCGUGGGUAGCAAACAGG
rnacentral:rRNA from 1 species